rnacentral:sRNA from 1 species
ACAAAACCAAAACGGACCAUUCCAAUUCCAAUUCCAAUCAAAUCCAACUCAGAUGUCAAAACACGCACCUCGCAAAAAACGCAGAACAAUAACCAUCCUCCACCCAGACCUAGGGAUCGGCGGCGCAGAGCGCCUCAUCCUCGACAUUGCGCUGGCUCUGCAAGCGCGCGGACACAAAGUGAAAAUCUACACGUCGCACCGGGACCGUAGCCACUGCUUCGAGGAGGCACGCGAUGGCACGCUGGACGUGACUGUGCGCGGAAACACUGUGUUCCCAGAUCAGAUUGCGGGGCGGUUUCGGGUGUUGUUUGCUGUGUUGAGGCAGGUGCAUUUAGUGGUGUGGUUGUUAAUGGCGCGGGAGCGGGAGCGG